UCUUACGUCUCUAUGGUGCCGACUCCAUGCUGUGGGCAAUAUUGAAAACGCACAUGUCACAAUCCCUGCCCUCAAGGAACUUACCAGACAGUUGGGAAUUGAGACCAAAAAAAUGAUAGAGAGCCACAAAGAUGGCACAGCCUCAAGACGUCCUGGUCACAUGUGUUUGAACACUUCUGACAAGCCAGGUGUGAGAUAAGCAAAAUGCAUAAGGUGAAAUUAAAUCUCCCUCUCAGUCUGGAAACCUCUGUGAAGAUCCUGCGUUAUUUACCAACCACAAGAGCUUUUCCUUGGCUGGGGCAUGUGAUCCUACUAGCACUUUUUUCCAGCUGCUCAAACAUACUUUGGCACAGUCACUCACUAGCUCCAAAUACCAGGAUUACUCCAUUCCUGUUCAGUGGUUCAGUGACUUGGCUCCCAGAGAAAAAGCAAAGGCAGUUUCAGAAAUCUACUAACUCCCCAAAUGGAACUAAAUAAUAGUCCCGACUUCAGGGUAUUAUUUGAAGGUGAAAGGAGAUGAUGUGUAGAAAGCAUUUAUGGUAUGUAUGUGCCUGGCACCUAGGGCAGUCUUGGUCAAGGUCAGCUCUUUUCCUU